rnacentral:lncRNA from 1 species
AGAGCGAGCUACGCUGCAGGAGCGCAGUUACCAGCCGGCUGCGAUCACGUGCCUGGGAGGAGGAGCUGAGACCUCAGGGGAGGGGCGCGCGGUAGCGUCCCGGGUCCCCUAGCAGGGCUCUAGAGACCACGUGAAGUCUCCUCGGUAUGUAGCACGCCGCCCCCACCACUCCCAGCCCCAUUCCCAGCGCCUCUCGGGCGGAGACCUGCGACCCGCAGCCGCUUUCCGGGGCCCCGGACACCCCUUCCCUACCCUCUCAAUCCCUGGCGGCUCCUCCCGUCUGACAGGUGGCGCGAACGCGUCCAGUGAGAGGAGUCUGAGGUUUGCCCUGACGCCUUCCACAGCCUUAGUAGAGAUUCCGUGUUUCUUCCGUCUAGGCGAGUCCCCAGCCACCAACAGAUCACGACCCGCUGCUCCCACUUUAUUUUCAGCCGGGUCUUCCACCUCUCCCUCACUACUUAUGAAAUCCUCCACGGAAUAGUUCUGUGACAGCAAACGGUGAAGCCAAGUCACCUCACUGGUCACGAAACCCUUUUUGUCUAUACUUAGGGAGCUUCUGGCGAGGCAGUAUUCUUUAAUCAAAUCAUAAACCAUAUUUUUUGGAGACUACACAUCAAUGGGUUGUACCUGUAGCCUGGUGUGUAAAGCUCAUUUAGUGAAACCUCAGAGCUAUUAUGUGUCAACUUUUCUACAGUAAGUAUUUUGCCACAUGACAAAUGUUCGGCAAAUGUCGAUGGAGUAACUCUGACAUGAUUUUCAGGCAGUUAGAGGGUCCAUGCAAUGCAAUCAGUUGCAAAUGAUGAGGUUAAAGUAAUGGUACUGUACACACAGUACUAUCCUUCCAACUAGUAGGUUAUUAACACCUAUGUACAUCUCCAGCUGCUUGGGGACAGUAGUGUCUCAAUCUCAUUUGCAGUGUUUUAGUGUAUUACAUUUUUUAACAUAAUUGAAUAGUUUCAAUGUGACGAACAUUUUGAAACAUAUACUCUAUGCUGGGCAUGGUGGCUCACACCUGUAAUCCCAGCACUUUGGGAGGCCGAAGCGGGCAGAUUACGAGGUCAGGAGUUCAAGACCAGCCUGGCCAACAUGGUGACACCCCAUCUCUACUAAAAAUACAAAAAUUAGCCAGGCAUGGUGGCGCCCGCCUGUAAUCCCAGCUACUCUGGAGGCUGAGGCAGGAGAAUUGCUUGAACCCGGGAGGCGGCGGUUGUGGUGAGUCAAGAUUGCGCCACUGCACUCAGCCUGGGGAACAGAGCGAGACUUUCUCAACAACAACAACAACAAACAUAUACUCUGAAGUACUUUAGAUUGGGUUUCAAUUUGAAAGAUUUUAUCGAAUUAGAGGACCUCCCAAUUUCUGUGAGAUAAAUUCUAGAGAAGAGCUUCCCAACAAUUUUGACAUUGAGGUUUAUUAUUUCUUGGAACCAAGGAACUCUUAUGAUGUCGUCGAUAGCAAGACUUCAGCCGUUUUCCUACUGAUAAUAUAAUAAUGAUAUAUUAAGCUAUGAAACCUGAUAGUUAACGAUGGCUCCAGGGAAGCUUUGUGAUAUAUAAAAAACCAACAUUAAUGCCAUCUCUAGUUUAGAUAAUACUCUGCCAGCUCUUUGCUAUGAAGCCCCAUAAAGGGAAUUUACUGUUGCCUCGCUGAAUAGUGGUUAGGAGGAUGAACUCAGAAGCAAGUACAGAUGGAUUCUGUUCUGCCUCCUCCUCACUGUGUCAUCUUAGUUACUAAUCUUUCUGAGCUUCGAGUUCCUAUUCUGUGAAAAGAUAGUAUCAUCUAUUUUCACAUGGUUGAAAGAUUAAGGAAAAAGGUAUGCAAUGUACAUAGUAGCAUGUGUUUGGCACGUAGUUAGCCCUCAGUAAAUAACUGCUAUUAUUUUCUACAUUGGAUGCUGGAGAGGGAUGAAAUAAAGUAUCUUUUAUUUCUAAAUCUUUUUUGCUAUUUGGUUUAUUUUCUUUCUUCGAUUUGGAAGCAGCAAGCUUGAAACCUGCCCAAAGUAUACACAACCAAGUCUUCCAACAUCCAAACUAAAAUCCAAAAUUGGUUUAAUAACUCAAUAAUUUUCCUUCAGAGAACAGGACAGUAUUACUUUCUGCACUUUUCUCAGAGUGGUAUGAUGAUUUCCUACUCUUUUUCC